UGCCCUAGCAGCGGGAACAGUACUGCAGUGAUCCAUUGGUGCCUGGAGUAUUGUUCCUGCUGCCAGGAUA
ensembl:miRNA